GACGAACGCUGGCGGCGUGCUUAACACAUGCAAGUCGAACGAUGAAGCCUUUCGGGGUGGAUUAGUGGCGAACGGGUGAGUAACACGUGGGCAAUCUGCCCUGUACUUUGGGAUAAGCCUUGGAAACGGGGUCUAAUACCGGAUAUCACUUACCUCCGCAUGGGGUUUGUUGAAAGUUCUGGCGGUACAGAUGAGCCCGCGGCCUAUCAGCUUGUUGGUGGGGUAGUGGCCUACCAAGGCGACGACGGGUAGCCGGCCUGAGAGGGUGACCGGCCACACUGGGACUGAGACACGGCCCA
rnacentral:rRNA from 1 species